GUGGGUGGCUCAGUGGUUAGAGUCUAGGGCUCGUAAGUGAAAGGUUCUGAGUUCGAAUCUCACAAGAGGCA
rnacentral:tRNA from 1 species